rnacentral:rRNA from 1 species
GAGUAUGGUAGAGGAAAGUGGAAUUUCUGGUGUAGCGGUGAAAUGCGUAGAUAUCAGAAGGAACAUCAAUGGCGAAGGCAGCUUUCUGGACCAAUACUGACACUGAGGUACGAAAGCGUGGGUAGCAAACAGGAUUAGAUACCCUGGUAGUCCACGCCGUAAACGAUGAUAACUAGCCGUUGGGGGGAUUUACCCUUUAGUGGCGAAGCUAACGCGUUAAGUUAUCCGCCUGGGGAGUACGGCCGCAAGGUUAAAACUCAAAGGAAUUGACGGGGACCCGCACAAGCGGUGGAGCAUGUGGUUUAAUUCGAUGCAACGCGAAGAACCUUACCUGGUCUUGACAUCCUGCGAACUUUCUAGAAAUAGAUUGGUGCCUUCGGGAACGCAGUGACAGGUGCUGCAUGGCUGUCGUCAGCUCGUGUCGUGAGAUGUUGGGUUAAGUCCCGUAACGAGCGCAACCCCUAUCCUUAUUUGCCAGCACAUUAUGGUGGGAACUAUAAGGAGACUGCCGGUGAUAAACCGGAGGAAGGCGGGGACGACGUCAAGUCAUCAUGGCCCUUACGACCAGGGCUACACACGUGCUACAAUGGGAAGGACAAAGAGCCGCGAAGCCGCGAGGUGUAGCUAAUCUCAUAAACCUUUUCGUAGUCCGGAUUGGAGUCUGCAACUCGACUCCAUGAAGUCGGAAUCGCUAGUAAUCGUAGAUCAGAAUGCUACGGUGAAUACGUUCCCGGGUCUUGUACACACCGCCCGUCAUACCAUGGGAGUGGGUUGCACCAGAAGUGGCUAGUCUAACUUAGUGAGGACGGUCACCACGGUGUGAUUCAUGACUGGGGUAAAGUCGUAACAAGGUAGCCGUA